UUCAUGUUGGCCACGAUGGGGUUGGAGAGUUUAAAACUCUCCUCCCCAUCUUAAAGGUGACCUUGUAGUUUCGAAACUCUAUAAUAAGUGUCUCAAAGUGAAGACUUGGUUUUAGUUUAUACAACCUUGAUGCAUAUCUGAGGGUAAGAUGAUCCCUUAUUUCGAUUGACAUAAAAGAUAAGAGUAUAGUAUUAAAAAUUAACUUUAAAACAACCUUGAAUGUCAACUCCAAGGUCGCCAUUUAGACUCCCGAAAUCUUUCACGUUUAAGGGUCGAAAACGUGGUUCGGGGGAUCGCAUUAGAUUUCAGUGAGGUUAAUUUCUAGUCAGUUGAGGAAGAAGAACCUUAAAGGAGUGGAACCCAUAAGAGAUGUUGUUGAGGAAAUCAAUAAGGCAGAAUCUGUUGUGCAAAACCUCAAUCCUGCUGAUGGUUCUAGGGUAUGCUGUGCAACAUUAAAACAGGAUUUUGUUCUGCAUAGUUUACGACAUUCCGUUUUAUAUAAUGCCAAGAUCUUUAAUGGAGGGUAAGGUGAUUGGAAAACCGGGUGUAAACGCACUAAAAUAAACUGUGAGGCUAAUAUGGUUUAGAAAACUAAUCUCUACGAGUAAAACUUAGGCAAAAAAUGACUUACCGUCAU